rnacentral:rRNA from 1 species
UGGGAAACUGGGCUAAUACCGGAUAGGAGCUCCUGCUGCAUGGUGGGGGUUGGAAAGUUUCGGCGGUUGGGGAUGGACUCGCGGCUUAUCAGCUUGUUGGUGGGGUAGUGGCUUACCAAGGCUUUGACGGGUAGCCGGCCUGAGAGGGUGACCGGCCACAUUGGGACUGAGAUACGGCCCAG